CUGCGGUAAAGUUUUAAAGAGUUUAAAUUCUAUUUGAAAAUCAACCAUUUAAUAGAACUUCAUUUUCGAUGUUUAUAUAACAGGGAGUUCAGGUCCUAAGGUUAAUAGUUUGUUGCUUCGACGUUAAAUUAAUGAUAGAGUUUGCAUGUAGCAAUUAUUAUGAUCUCAAAUUACAAUGCAUCAACAAAGGUCCAAUGUUUAUUUCAGU
rnacentral:lncRNA from 1 species